GACGAACGCUGGCGGCGUGCUUAACACAUGCAAGUCGAGCGGUAAGGCCCUUUCGGGGGUACGACGAGCGGCGAACGGGUGAGUAACACGUGGGUGACCUGCCCUCCAGCUCUGGGAUAAGCCUGGGAAACCGGGUCUAAUACUGGAUAUGACUCCAUGACGCAUGUUGGUGGGGUGGAAAGCCUUGUGCGGCUGAGGAUGGGCCCGCGGCCUAUCAGCUUGUUGGUGGGGUGAUGGCCUACCAAGGCGACGACGGGUAGCCGGCCUGAGAGGGCGACCGGCCACACUGGGACUGAGACACGGCCCAGACUCCUACGGGAGGCAGCAGUGGGGAAUCUUGCGCAAUGGGCGAAAGCCUGACGCAGCGACGCCGCGUGAGGGAUGACGGCCU
rnacentral:rRNA from 1 species